rnacentral:tRNA from 1 species
GGAGGCGUGGCCGAGCGGCCGAAGGCGCGAGUCUUGAAAACUCGUGGGCCCUCGCGGGUCCCGUGGGUUCGAAUCCCACCGCCUCCG